rnacentral:lncRNA from 1 species
GUUGAAAAUGUGGCAGAACAGCUUACUACCAGUAAUUUGAUUUGUGGAAGCUGAAGCCAGGGUUCUCACCUUUGCAAAUAAAUAUUUCUCUCCUCCUCUUCAUUUUAAGUUUACAAGUUAAGACCAAAGGUCAAAAUACUAAGUAUAUUGCAUUUCGUCAAAGUACUAAGUAUUUUGCAUUUCGUCAAAGUACUAAGUAUU